rnacentral:hammerhead_ribozyme from 1 species
AUCCAGCUGACGAGUCCAAAAUAGGAUGCAACGAGCAUCUUGGAU